UACAGAGACUGCAAGCGUUAUUCGGAUUCACUGGGCGUAAAGGGUGCGCAGGCGGCCGAGUGUGUGAGGCGUGAAAGCCCGGGGCUUAACCCCGGAAUUGCACCUCAAACUACACGGCUAGAGCAUUGGAGAGGGUAGCAGAAUUCACGGUGUAGCAGUGAAAUGCGUAGAUAUCGUGAGGAAUACCAGAGGCGAAGGCGGCUACCUGGACAACGACUGACACUGAGGCACGAAAGCUAGGGGAGCAAACAGG
rnacentral:rRNA from 1 species